rnacentral:rRNA from 1 species
UUAAGCUAAUAAGAGCGCAGGGAGGAUGCCUUGGCAUCAGGAGCCGAAGAAGGACGUGGUAAGCUGCGAAAAGCUACGGGGAUUGGCAAGCACGAUAUGAUCCGUAGAUAUCCGAAUGGAGCAAUCCACAUGGAGUCAAGUCCAUGUAUCAUAUACUGAAUAAAUAGGUAUAUGAGGGGAACCGCCCGAACUGAAACAUCUAAGUAGGGCGAGGAAAAGAAAUCAACCGAGAUUCUGUGAGUAGUGGCGAGCGAAAGCGGAAGAGGCUAAACCGAGAGGAGCAAUCCUUUCGGGGUUUAGGACUGCAUUUAGUACAAUGAUUGUUAACCGAACAGCAUGGGAAGGCUGAUCAAAGAAGGUGAGAAUCCUGUAGGUGAAAAUGAAAGUUGACGAGCAGUAUCCAAAGUACCGCGGGGCACGUGAAAUCCCGUGGGAAGAUGGGGGGACCAUCCUCCAAGCCUAAAUACUACCUGAUGACCGAUAGCGAAUAGUACUGUGAAGGAAAGGUGAAAAGCACCCCGGGAGGGGAGUGAAAUAGAACCUGAAACCCUGUGCUUACAAGCACUUAGAGCACGUCAAAGUGUGAUAAGGUACCUAUUGUAGAAUGGUCCGGCGAGUUAUUGUAUGCAGCGAGGUUAAGUAGUUCAGCUACGGAGCCGAAGUGAGAGCGAGUGUUAACAGCACGUUCAGUUGCAUGCAAUAGACCCGAAACCGGGUGACCUAUCCAUGUCCAGGAUGAAGUGAGGGUAAAACCUCAUGGAGGUCCGAACCCACUCCCGUUGAAAUGGUAGGGGAUGAGGUGUGGAUAGCGGAGAAAUUCCAAUCGAACCCGGAUAUAGCUGGUUCUCCCCGAAAUAGUUUUAGGACUAGCCUCGUGAUUAAGAUUAUCGGAGGUAAAGCACUGAAUGGCCUAGGGGUCGAGAGAUUACCGAAGCCUAUCAAACUCUGAAUGCCGAAUAAUCAUGCACGGGAGUCAGACUGUGUGAGAUAAGUUUCAUAGUCGAAAGGGAAACAGCCCAGACCUACAGCUAAGGUCCCAAAGUACGUUUAAGUGGAAAACGAUGUGAAAUUGCGUAGACAACCAGGAUGUUGGCUUAGAAGCAGCCAUACAUUAAAAGAGUGCGUAAUAGCUCACUGGUCGAGUGACUUUGCGCGGAAAAUUUAACGGGGCUAAAACGUACACCGAAGCUUAGGCUUGCAACAAUGUUGCAGGGGUAGGGGAGCGUUGAAUGAGGGGUGAAGUCGUAGCGAAAGCGACGGUGGACUUCAUUCAAGUGAGAAUGCCGGAAUGAGUAGCGAGAAUUAUGUGAGAAUCAUAAUGGCCGAAAGCCUAAGGUUUUUGGAGGAAGGUUCGUCCGCUCCAAGUAAGUCGGAAGCUAAGGUGAGGCUGAAAAGCGUAGCCGAUGCACAAACGGUUGAAAUUCCGUUACCACAGAAAGAUUUAAACUAAGGGACACUUUUGAAGAGCUGAUGCCGGGUGUUGGUUACCCCGGUCGUAAGGGAACGAAAUUAAGUAGUGAAGUCAGCGUGGAUGAAGGCGAGAAAAGCUUAGUGUAUAUCUUAUGUGUCCGUACCGCAAACCGACACAGGUAGGUAGGAAGAGAAUUCUAAGGCCAACGGGAGAAGGGUAGUUAAGGAACUCGGCAAAAUGUCCCCGUAACUUCGGAAUAAGGGGAGGUUUCUACGGAAACCCGCAGAGAAUAGUCCCAGGCAACUGUUUAUCAAAAACACAGCUCUAUGCUAAAUCGAAAGAUGACGUAUAUGGGGUGACGCCUGCCCGGUGCCGGAAGGUUAAGAGGAGGAGUGAGAGCCCUGAAUUGAAGCCCCGGUAAACGGCGGCCGUAACUAUAACGGUCCUAAGGUAGCGAAAUUCCUUGUCAGGUAAGUUCUGACCCGCACGAAUGGCGUAAUGAUCUGGGAGCUGUCUCAACUGCCCGCCCGGCGAAAUUGUAGUACCGGUGAAGAUGCCGGUUACCCGCGACUAGACGGAAAGACCCCAUGGAGCUUUACUGUAGCUUAAUAUUGGAUUUCGGCAUUUCAUGUACAGGAUAGGUGGGAGACUAGGAAACAUAGGCGUCAGCUUAUGCGGAGUCGUCCUUGGGAUACCACUCUUGGAGUGCUGAAAUUCUAACCUGCAGCCCUGAAUCGGGUUGGGGGACAUUGUUAGGUGGGCAGUUUGACUGGGGCGG